AAAAAGGUCUCUUUUAGUCCCAUGUGAAAGAAACAUGAGGGACUUUUAGGGACUAAAAGGGGUAUUUGGGACUAAAAGAAGAAGUCUGUAUGGGAGGGUCUUUUUGAGACUUUUUUGACACUUUUUCCAAUAGUGCCCCUACUUGUAGCAUGUCAUUUAAUAACUUCUAUUACAUUACUAGGGGUAAUAUGAUUUUUUUGCAUGUCAUUUAAUGACCUCUAGUUCCUAUUUAGUUCCUAUAAAGAAACGGGUAAGGACUAGGAACUUUUCAGUUUGGACUAAAAAAGGUCCUAGGACUUUUUAACGAAACAGAGCCUUACAAGAAAAAACCUAGUGGGGCAUGGGCUUGUGUGGUGUGAUAUCAUUUGUUUUUGUUAAUAUUUUUUUGUUGUUGUUGAGGGAAAUGAAAGCAGAUCCUUGUAAGCACACGUAUAUUGUGAUAUACCAUAUUCUAUGCCCAAGGGUAUCACAUCAAAUAUGUUGUAUAAUCUUAAAAUAGUGAAGUCUGACAUUGUACUCCACUCAGUGUGUUUAUUUUUAGCUUCUACUCUAAUGCUUACUUCACUUAUGAAUUAAUCCAGGCACUAUACCAUGUAGAGAUAGGGACAGACAAGGUGACUUUUUGCAUAUGAAUUUUUCAUUUACGAAAUGGGCCGGCACGGUUUGCGUCGAUCCUAGUAACUAAAGUGAAAGAGUAGCUCAUUAGCAGGGACGGAGACACCAUUCAUGCAUAGGAGGUAAGUUUGUUCAUGAAAAAUGCAAAGUUCAUGUAAAGUGGGUUUUUUUAAGAGGUAAUUACAGUAGUGCUGCAUGAACUUGACAUCGAUGUUCAUUUUGGUAUAUGAACUUGAAAAAUACGCUUAAUUGGUGCUAAAACUUGGUUCUUUGGUUCAAGUACGAUUUAAAUCGCAUUUUCGUACGUCCGCACUGUUGACUAGGAUGCCAGCGUGUCCGUCGGACCCAACAUUAGUGACUGCGAGCGUGCACAAGGCGUGUGGCCACGCUUGUGGCUCGAUAUUUCCGAAAACCCCAUUCGUUUCGAAAACCCCCUUCGUUUUUUUAUUUGUCGCACAGAAACACCUGAGCUAGUGGGACACAACAGCCCUAAAUUUUUUGCAUAUACGCCCAACCCAUAUCCUAACAUACCGCAGAUCAACUUGACCGUGCAUGUUCCUCGAGCUCUUCUCCACGUAUUGAUCGUUCGUGGCCGCCGGCUGGGUGUAUCGUUUGUGGAGCCGCGGUUUCAGAAAAUCCAAAUACACAUGAAAGAGAUAAUGUCAAAAUAUAUGCGUACAUAAUUUCUG
rnacentral:lncRNA from 1 species